CCUGGGUGGACAAAAACGUGCUUUCCCGGACUGGGUUGAAGGGGAGAAAGGGAGAGGUCGGGCUUGGGGGGCUGCCUCCCGCGGCUCAGCAGUUCCUCUGACCAUCCGAGGACCAUGCGGCCAACGGGUCAUCACGUCGCGCAUCGUGGGUGGAGAGGACGCCGAACUCGGGCGUUGGCCGUGGCAGGGGAGCCUGCGCCUGUGGGAUUCCCACGUAUGCGGAGCGAGCCUGCUCAGCCACCGCUGGGCACUCACGGCGGCGCACUGCUUUGAAACCUAUAGUGACCUUAGUGAUCCCUCCGGGUGGAUGGUCCAGUUUGGCCAGCUGACUUCCAUGCCAUCCUUCUGGAGCCUGCAGGCCUACUACACCCGUUACUUCGUGUCGAAUAUCUAUCUGAGCCCUCGCUACCUGGGGAAUUCACCCUAUGACAUUGCCUUGGUGAAGCUGUCUGCACCUGUCGCCUACACUAAACACAUCCAGCCCAUCUGUCUCCAGGCCUCCACAUUUGAGUUUGAGAACCGGACAGACUGCUGGGUGACUGGCUGGGGGUACAUCAAAGAGGAUGAGGCACUGCCAUCUCCCCACACCCUCCAGGAAGUUCAGGUCGCCAUCAUAAACAACUCUAUGUGCAACCACCUCUUCCUCAAGUACAGUUUCCGCAAGGACAUCUUUGGAGAC
rnacentral:sRNA from 1 species